UUUCAUUGCUCAAAACGCUUAAGCCUCGGCCUGCCGCUGGAGGGGCUCACGGUAGAAAAAUGGAAGAGGUCCCGUUACUUACACAUGUUAAGCCACACGGCUGGAGGCCGUCCCUUGGUUUCCAACGAAGAACAAUAGUGUGAAAAGAAAACUUACGGAAAAUGAGGCAGCAUUUGCAGGAUGUGUUUUCACCAAGGGGGAAUGGUUGUGAGUAACAGUAUUGUGUUGACGUAGGGAAGCCCGGCUGGCAGGCAAUAUACUGAAUGAAAAAAAUCACACUCCCUCUCUCUGUCUCUGUCUCUCUCUCUCUCUCUGUCUCUCUCUCAUGCCAAAAGAGACUUUUUAAAGAUCCACUGAGAGGGGAAGAAAACGGGCAGGUGAACUUUUAUUUUCACAGCUUUUUUUUUGCAAUGGGGAGGCCUCUGCCCGGAAUGACACGUAAAGCCAUCAUUCACACUUUUUUUAUUCCUAGGAAUUUUUUUUAAAAAAAACACGAAAUGGACUAAUCUCUAAAACCAAGCUCAGCGUUGUGCUGUUAAAAAAGGGAACUAAAUAUGAUUACAUACUGUAGGUCUUUAUUAUUUGUGGUUCACCUUAAAGGUAUUUUGGACUUCGGGAACGGAUCUCAAUUAAUGAGGUGGAUGAGGAUGAAUUUCAGAAGUGCCAUACAUGAUUAUGAACGGGGCAGGUAGCACAUAUUUAGGGUGGGAGUGGGGUGGUAGAAGAGCAAUUAAUACAAGGAGAAUAUUUCCAAACAUGAGGAAUAACAAAUGCUGCGAAUUUCCAGGAGUUAAAAAAAAAAUUAUUCCUGAACGAUUGUAUUAUGGGUGAAAGGCACAGAAGAUAACUUUUUCUUUUUUUGAUCUUCUUGUAAAGUCGGAGAGGGGGCAGUGAAAUUAUUAAUACAUUUCAGACACUGUCUGGAGAAUUAUAGGGGGGGGGGGAUCCAACGUUUGGUCUAAAAAUUACCUCUUUCUCAGAAUAUUGCGCUGAAUAUUGUUGAUACUACAGUGAAGGUUUUAUUUUUAUUUUCCGUUUUAUAAGUUUAUUUUUUGAUCAUAAAUAUUAAUAUUUAAUUAGACUAUAGAUAAUUUGCUAGUCACAAUACUGUUUACCUUUCUACUUAAGCGUUAUUUUGUUAUACCUUGUUAAUGAAGCUCUGUAAACUAAAAGCAAAAAAAAAAAAAAAAGGGUCACACCGUUGAAAUAUUCCAUGUUCUUGCGCUGCGGAUUCUGGAAAUGGCGCUAUUCCAACCAUAGCAUUGUUUUCCGUUGUAUGUGUGUGCCCAGAAAUGCAUAUUAUUGGGCCAGAUGUUUACAGUAAUGUGAAUCCAGUGGAAUUUCUGUGGAUACCUCUUAUCUUAGAGCACAUCUCAGGGAUGCCAGGUGUUCCUGGAAUACAGCUCCCAUCAUCCUUCGUGUCCUUGAAGGUUGGGGCUUCAGCACAUAGGGUUCCAGAAUGCAAAGACACCCCCCCCCCAAUUCCUCCACGUUCUGGAGGAGGUAUGUAGGCCUCCAGAUUUGUGGGCCUUUCUCCACCUGAUCUUAGAAAGUCCAUAUUUUGAUAGGAAGGCGGUCAUUGUUUGACUAUAACAUCUGGGGUUAAAGAUCAAAUCCUAAGCACAUUUGAAAAGUUUGGUUUCUGUUGCGAGAAAAGAUCUGCUAUGCAUUCCUUCAUAGGUCUUCUCACAGAUCUACAACAAUCCAAUUGUUGAGGGCUUGUUUUCGCAUCAGAAGCACAGGCUUACUGUGUCCUGCGCGUGUUAGCCAGAUCUUCUUCUUAACUUCAAAAAGUCAAACUCGUACAGACAUUUAGAUAAAAGAGACUCAGUGGCUGCAAAUAUGGGUUCCCCAAGUUUUGCUUUUUUUCGACGUCGGAAGUAUUGAGGUUUGAGUGGAAGGUUUGAGAAGCUGCUCCUUGGAGCAUCCACCUUCUUCUAGAGCAGGGGAGUCUAGCUUUGGCAACUUUUAAAGACUCAUGCUGGGGAAUUCUGGGAGUUGAAGUCCACGAGUCUUAAAGUUGCCAAGGUUGGACUCCUCUAUCCUCAAGUGUUCUAAUGGUUCUCUGUGUCUUAGUGGAGUAGGGGUCCUUUUCUUCAGCUAUUUCCCCUCCUCACAAUCCCCAGCCACUUUACCUGGCAAUUAAAUGCAAAGGACACUCUUCAAGGCUUCCCUUGAGUUGCUACUGGCUCUCUUGAUCUAAACUAACGACCUUAAACACUCAAAGAGCCACAAAGGUCUUAACCGGAAGUCCCCCGUCAAUUCUGGGGCUGACUGAAAGUCCGGUUCCCCCACCAUAGAGUCUCCUCCUUGUGGAGCUGACUGGAAAACCCGCCCCUUGCCAUAGAGUCUCCUCCUGGCGUGCUGUGCUUUUCCCUUCUCUAAACGGAAGCUCCUCUCAAAAUUGUGGUGCCAACUGGCAAGGGAGCCGCAACAGAAGGAUGAAAGAGCCACAUGCAGCUCCAGAGCCAUGGGUUGCCGACCCCUGAUCUAAACAAUUAAGCAAUACCCCAAUCAAGGAAUCACAUAAAUCAACAGGAAACAGCCCAACCAAAGAACCCCUGAGAUUACCCGCAUCAACACUUGACAGGGUAAGCCACCAGAAUAUAAUUUGAGGGCCAUCACUACCUACUAGCACUGAUGAUGUUACUUAGUUGGGCCAUGAAACAUCUGCAAGAAAUCAGCCAAGCUCAGAGAGCACCCAGGACCCCUCCUUUCCACCCUGAGCUACACAGAUAUUUCUCUUUUUAUCUCUUGAUCUUCUAAUAUCCAAAACAUAAGAGUAUCAUCCAGUUGGAUCUUCAUUCAUUGUCUUUCUUUGGGAUUCCAUUCCGAUGGGAGCAAAGUAAGAACAACGGAUUGGAAAGCGUAAAAGGAAGAAGAAAAGGAGCAGCGUUUGUCACCUGCUUAGUUUGCAGAAAUGAGCUAAAUGGUGGUGCUCACCCCUACGGUGUUCUGUUUCUCCUUUUUAUUGUCAGUUUCGCUUUUUGGAUGGGAAAUUUGUGUUUUCAAGUCUACCAUUUUUAAAAUUUAUUUUUUGGGGGGGGAGAGUUAAUUGUCUCCCCUGCAUUAAGAGCAGAUGGAGAAGCUAGUUUUAUAUUAUUAUUCCUUUGACUCAAAGCUCUCUUCUCUUUCCCUAUGCAAGUUCUCUCCUGAUUCUUGCAAGUGAUUGUUGCCCAGGUAUACCUAUAAAAACAAGGCUUUGAACCGAAUGAUGUCGGGAAGAAUCUUUUCUUGCUUUCCUUGAGAAUUCAAAGAGCUCGGAGUUAAUUUCAUUUCAAACUAUUAAAUGCGAGUUCCUUGCUAACCGAACCAAGUAUAGUAAGAAGAUACGCAAUUGCAGAGUGUUUGCCUUUCUUUUUCUCUUUGAAGCCAGCUUUUUGAGUUUUUGCACAGAAGGUAAUUUACAAUGUUUAAGCUGCAGUAAAAUAACUUAAUAAUAGCGCUGCAUUUAAGGAGUACAGAGGGCUGGUUGGGCAAAGUUAAAAAGACGCAUUUUAACUUUGCCCAAACUGGUUCCUUUCUAGGAACUAAAAGUCUUUUCAUAGAGAACAUUUUGUCGGCCAAAUAUGUUCAAUUCGUCUGAUUCGUUUGCUGGCCUUGGCUAACAUUGCCAUUCAUAGAGAAGGUUGUGUGCCAUGAUUCAGUGUGACUCCCAUCAGUCUGUAGGGUUAUUUUCCUGACUUGUGGUCUUACAGCCAAAUUAGGUAUCAGUCAGUCUUGAGUCUCAAAAAUCAAGUUGCUACUGUCUCACCUUUAUAUCGCAGGGUUACAAGGAUGAUCUAGAGCUGGGGUCUCCAACCUUGGCAACUUUAAGACUUGUGGACUUCAACUCCCAGAAUUCCUCAAGCCAGCUUUGGAACUUUUGCAAGUACUGUAGUCCUAUGCCUAGGCUACCGCGAGUAGAUUGGAGAGCAGCUGUUCAUCUUUUAUUUCAGAGUGUAUUGCAAUUCACAUAUUUGACAACACAAGUCACACCUAUUUGUCCACCUUUGGCAAACUGUUUUUUAAGAGUUUGGAAAGGUUAACAAGGCAUAUUGAACCUGGCUCUCAGUGUCCGGUUUACGAUAGUCAAACAUUAAUUUUGUUUUUAGAAAAACAAGCAUUAACGUUGGUGAAAAACACCUUCGUAUUCUGGUUGUGUUUUCGCUCUGGAUGAUUAAAACGGCAUCCCUGUGUGCAAACGCAAAGAUUUGUUUUCUGUAAUGCAUCUUCUCUCUUCCAUAGUUACCUCAAUAGUUUUCAAAAUCACAGAGCUGGUAUUUGUCACGCAUAAGGCACUUUACAAUAACAAAAAACUUGCAGUGAGUGCCAAUUUUUGGGGGGUUCUUUUUCAACACAGGUGCUGCUGAACUCAUCAAAAUGCAGGGAUAUUACCACAUUGAAGUCUACUGUAAAACUCUUUAAACGAUAGCUGUGCAUACGUUCUUCUUGUUUGUCUUAAUUCUGAGUCUUAAAAUCGCCUUGGACGACAUCACUACCUGGGCAGUCCUGUCCCUUUGCUAUACCAGUGCUACCCUUGGAAAUGAAUAACGAGUUUAAACUGUCCCUUUUUAUUUCAACAGGCUCUUAGGGCAAGUCAACGGCAUAAGGCUUAGGAAAGAUUGCGUCCAUGCCUGCUCUUGGAAUUGCUUCUGUUCAGGGCAGGCCAACCAUACCUGUAAUGAGUAAACGGGCUAGCCUGGUUCUUAGGAACUGUGUUUAGUCUCCGUUGCAAAUGGUAGCAGAGAACAGCAGCCCAGAAUGACCCAACUGUCAAUAUGCACUGCUUGUUGUAUUAAUCGAUUUUAUUCGAUUGAUAGAUGGUUCAUUCUCGGGCUGAGAAACUCUUUAGGUCUGGGUUGUCCCUAAGGACACCGGAUUUGGAGAUCAAAGCGGUUGGUACGUUAUAACCCGCGUGUAUCUUUUACCAGUUUCCCUUUCUCCAUUUUCACCACGCUUUCAAAGGUUUACGGCUGAAACUACAUUUUUCUGAUGUUUCUGCAGUACUCUUUGUAUAGAUUUGCAACCAUAUCCACCUCCCUACCUGUGGCACAUCUGUUGACCCACCACUGGGAAGAUUUCCCUUACUUUGUUCUGCCAUUCUGGUUUAAAAUCUGAAUGUAUCGAGUUCUGUUCUCAUUAAGGUCAGGAACAUAUGUACUGUAUUCUGAAUGUGAAACUGACAAAACCAACAUAACGUUACUGCCUUUCUCUUUGUUUUUCCUAAAUGGUUCAUUUUUGUAGCCGUCAGUUAAUUUCUAAUUCAGCUCCUAGACUUUUUUUUUUAUUAUUAUUUACAUUUAUAUCCCGCCCUUCUCCGAAGACUCAGGGCGGCUUACAGUGUGUAAGGCAAUAGUCUCAUUCUAUUUGUAUAUUUACAAAGUCAACUUAUUGCCCCCCCAACAAUCUGGGUCCUCAUUUUACCUACCUUAUAAAGGAUGGAAGGCUGAGUCAACCUUGGACCUGGUGGGACUAGAACCUGCAGUAAUUGCAGGCAGCUGUGUUCUAAUAACAGGCUUCUAACAGCCUGAGCUAUUACGGCCCUUGGGUUCUUCAUAAUUUCAGCUCAUUGAAACACUAUGAGCUACCAAGUUCUGCUACUGUAGAAUAAGUUUGAAAUUUCUUUGAGGUCAGGGUUUUUUGUUUUUUGUUCUAAGUCUGGUCACUUACUGUAUGAUAAAGAAAAUAAGUAUUGAACCUGCUAGAAUUAACUAAACCACCCAAGUGCCUAAUAUGACUUGAAUAGAAAGGGGGCUCCCCAAGUCAGUGGAGAUAAAAAUGUCUUCAUUGAGCUGAAUAUAAUCAGAUUAAUUAAAUGUAUUAGAAAUUAUUUUUAAUCCUUAAAUGUCCAUAUUUAUCAUUGCCACCUGCUGCCUAUUAGGUCAGAGAGGAUUGUCUGCCCACUAAUGAAAUACAGUAAAAAGUUUGUAAAGAAAGUAGAAAACAAGAAAUUGUCCCUGGUCAGCUGGAUGCUAAUCCUAUUCUUCAGUCUUUACCGUAUAACCCUUUUAGAAAAAGAAAAUUACACAUUACAUGAUCAGUUGAUUUGAAACUGGUAGAUUAUAAAUGUAAAACAUAGCUUCUAUGUUUAUGUUCUCACUGAAGGUUCACCGCUCACUCUUAAGAAAAUAUUUUGCUUUUAAAUAUUUACAAGUUGUAAGUUACAAUAGGUAUCGGUCUACUCUACCACUUGUAAUAUUACUAAUGAUGUUGUAACUAUGCUGUAAGCCUGGGGACAUAGAUUGAACCAUAGUGGAAAACCGUGUUGUAAAAAAUGACAUCUUGACAAAACCAGUUCUCUUUGGAAUUCAAAUUUUCUACCUAGUCCAUUUAAGUUUUCUACCUAAUUAGUCACUAAAGUAACUUUUAGCGACUAGAAAAACAAAAUAUACCAACUCACUGACCAAGAGUGUUUGGUCUCAGCUAUAACAAUAUGAAUGGCCCAUAAGUUGUUUUUUUUUCUUGAAUUUGAAUAGUUAAUUGUGCUCCCCCCCCCAAAAAAAACAGUAGCGUGCAGAUUAAAGAGGACAUUUCUAGCCAUUUGCUUUUCAGGAAAAGAAGAAUAAUCAGCAUAAAUGCAAAAGAUAAACUUUGCUCACUGCCUUUAGUAUAAUUAUUUUGUAUUUUUGUUCCGCUUGACGCCGGGAGCCCUGACCAUGGUCGUUAAGUGAUUCAUGUCGUCGUUAAGCAAACCUGGCUUCCCCCAUUGACUGCUUGCUGGAAGCCCCCGGGAAGGGCGUGAAAUAGAAGUCAUGGGGACCCACCCACUCCCAGGACACUGAUGCAUGCUGGUUGUCAAGUGCCCCAAAUUUUGAUCACGUGAUGGUGAGGGUCAGCUGUAAGUCACUCUUUUCAGCCCCUUCCUAAUUUAGAAUGGUCAUUAAGCGAAUACUAAGUUGAGGAUUUACUUGCCUGUAUUUAUCCUUUAGGUCUGGGCUCCCAGUUGGCCCGCUAGCAGAAAGACCAUCAGAAGGGGUUGCCUUUUGUUCUUCCCUUUUCCCUUCCGUUCCAUCAGAAUCUCGGCACUCGGUUUUUCACAUUCCUAAUUGCUCAAUUCUGAUUUCUGCCCUGAGGCGGUGGGUGGGAAGAGGUAGGUUUUAUGGCAAAUUCAACCCAAUAUGCCUCCUUUCCCCCCUGUUUUUAUCAGAACCCGCCACAGGCAAAGCGAUUGCAAGAAUAUGUACUUUUGCAAGAAAGAAGGGAGUCAGUGACAGAUGCCUUUUUGCCCGCUUCUUAGGCGAACUCACAUUUGCCUCUACAACUAUGCAACCAUGGACAGACAGGGUGCUGUUCGGGGAAGGUCUACAUAGGAGAGAGGCCAGAAUCUCUUGCACACCCUCUCGACUCCUUGCGCUAGUUGACCAACUCUCUAUGCAUAUACGAAAGCAGAAAGCAGCAUCCAUCGUUCCGUUUAUUUCUUGCUGCUUAUUGUCAAACUCCAGCGUCUGAUCAAAAGAUCUCCCGGUCUUCAAAGGGAGUUAUUUCUUUAGGCCGGAGGAUCCCCAAACUUGGCAAACUUUUAAGACUUUCAAUUCUCAGGAUUCCUCAGCCAGCCGUGAAUUCUGGGAGCUGAAGUCCAUAAGCCUUUAAAAGUUGCCGAGUUUGGAGAGCCCUGGUUUAAGCCAUCAUGAGCUAAAAAGUAUAAAGCUAGAAAAAAGAAAGAAAAAAGAAAGGAAAAAAAAUGGUAGCUAGCUGAUACUUUUUUUUGCAUGCAAAAGGUUCUGGUCGGCUUGCUUGCACCACGAUGUUUGGGACUACCCUGUUAGUUAUGUUAACCGGGUUUUUCCCACGUAGCAACGGUGCGAUUCAUUUAAUUCUUUCUUAAAUUAAAAAUUGCAUCUGGAGAAAUGCGUACACAUCUGUGGUUUGUCCAAAUAAAUGGAAGGGUGCCACUGUUUUUAACGGGGUUCAAAUACAUCUGAUCUUAAUUGUGUUCAGAGCCAUCUUUAGGAAGGCUCAAGGUAAACUCUUGUUUCGUUUUGUUUUUUUAAAAUUCAACGCGAAAUGAAUUCAGGGCUAAAUUUUAAGCAUUGUAGCGACUUGUUGAGGUGUAGCCAAGGCCAGAAGGUCUAAUUAGAAGUUCCUUAUACUUCCAACAUAGCCACAGUGUUUUUAUUAAUAGAAUCACAGGUUUAUUUAAAGAAACAUACAAUUUUUUAUACUUUUCUCCAAGGGGCCUUUCUAAAGGAAGCACAGAAUAUUGAUUAGCAUGGUGUAAGCAGAGGGUUUUGUACUACCGCGUUUAUAUAUGUGUUUUUCAAAAAAAAAAACAAUAAUGCUUUUCGGCUAGGCCCAUGCAGGUAUAAUGGGCGAAAAUAAAUAAAUAAAUAAAUAAAUAAGGAAAACGAAACUAUUUUCCAACGCUAUACGCUUUGCCUGGAUCGCUGCCUGUUGGGGUCGAGCCCUUUACUCAUCCGUUCUGGAGAGUUAAUAGCAUCAGGCUUCUCUAAAAGGGAACAGCUAAUGUGAGAUGUUUUUUUUCCCCAUUGGGAAAAAGAGAUUCAUAGCCUAGCCAUCUCACAAAAGUAAGCAAUCUUUACUGUUCUAUCUCUGACUCAUUUUCACAGCAAAAUACACUUUCCGCCCAUUGGACGUUUUACAGUUGAACUGCUGAAUUUCCGAAGACUUAUUUCUCUUCUUGGUGUAGUAGCAGCAGCAGCAGUAUAUGUUGUUCUAAUUGUUACCUGAAGGGUUAACAUGAAAUAUCCAGAGUCAUUAAUAAUAUGGGGAAUCAGAAACAGAAUCUGAAAUAGUAUACUAAGUGUUAAAAAAAAUAUAAAUCCCAGUACAUUGUACUUAUCAUCUGUUGAUUUGUGCACAGUUUAAGUGAGCUUGUGAAUUCCACUAGGUCAGGGGCCUGCAAACUUGGCUCCUUUAAAACUUGUGGACUUCAACUCUGGGAGUUGAAGUCCACAAGUCUUAAAAGAGCCAAGUUUGCAGACCCCUGCACUAGGUUAUUGAAAUUGCAACCCAGAUAAUUGGAAGGUUAACAUAGGAAUCGGAUCAAAAGGUGAUUUUGAAACACACCAUGCAAAUUUACCUGAAAUUACUUCCGCAGUGCCAUGAGAAAGUUCACAAUAUUAAGAUUGCCAAUAAUAAAGUACCCUUAUAUUCACAGUCUUCUGUAAAACAUAUGGGACAUGCUAAGUUGUACUAACUACACCACCAAAAUCGCUUUUGCAUUAUAAACUCGGUCAACCGGAUUUGUUCAGAUGUCAUAUUUUACCUUAAGAGAACUCAGCGUGUAGCUAUUGUGUCAUUGUUGGGGGGAUUAAUUUUUAUCUACUCGUUUUAAUGUGGCGAGUCAGUUGGAAGCAGGCAGCCUCCAAAAUCAAAUAAAUAAACCCAUCCAUCUCUGUCCUUCUAAGCCCAUUUAUAACAUCGAACAGAUGUCGCCCAAGCAUCAAUCCAAGCUAACUCCUAACCAUGUCAGCAGGAAAUUGUGUUACUCAAAGCAAAUCCUGAGGUGGAAGGUAUAAUCUCUCUAUUUUGACUAUCCCUGCUUUCCUAAGAUUCAGGUUGAAGCUUCCCCCAGAUUUUCCAGCCUUUCGUUUUUAAAUUAAAGAUUAUACCUCAUGUUGAACUUGGGAAACAUCUGUGCACAAAAACCAUGUGGAAAAAAACAACAACAACAUUUCAUCAAACCUGUUGGUAGAAAGCUGCAAUGUUGUUUCCUUUUUCUAUUUAUUGUUUAUCCGUUGCACUUUAAGUGUCAAUCUGUGCUGUUGUAUAUUUGUUCCCCCACCCACCCAUUCCUAGAGUAUUUCCUACCUAGGUGACCGCUCUCCACCUCCCAAUCUUCCAUGUGUUUUUUUGUGUUACAGAAAUCGAGGUCUCUUUCAUUCCCAUUUAUGGCAUCUGAACAAAUUUAAUACUUGAUGUGCAGUAUACUUGUUUUCCUGUGUUCUAGCUUUAAGGGAUCCCAGAUCUCUUCCUAGUUUGCAUAGAUUUUGAUUUUAGGAACAAUUAAGGAGCUUGUUUGAUUGCCCUGCUUGCUAACUUCUGUGGCUGUAUUUGAAGAAAACAAAAAAAGUGCAAUUUGAGUAGCACUUUGUGAUGGAUGAGUGAAAACUGGGCUUUGCAAUAAAACAAAUGAUACUAAUAUGUGUUAAGUUGUGUUCUCAGUGCUCUUUGUAUUUCUUUUCCAAGUGUUUAAUAGUGGUUGUUAAUUUUAAAAAGGGGGCAAACUCUGAGAAAUGCCGUUGAGUUUUUAUUUAUUUAUUAUUCAUUGGGCAAGCAAUGGUCAAAGCAGCCUCCAUGGACAUGUAGACGGUGAUCAAUCUUUAAGGGCUGUCAAUUGCAUGAUUGACAGUGCAGAGGAAAUAGCCUGAUACCAUCUUUCCACUUCGCAGAGUAAAGAUAGACUCUCUUCAGCCACAUAUAUGCUUUCUUUCAUUUCACUUUCUUUAAAAAAAAAAAAAUGAAGCUGCAAAACAAACGGAUAAGCGAAUUGGUCCAAGAAUUUGGAGGGGGAGUGAGAAAUUCCAUACUUUAACCACAUUGAAAUCUCCCCGUGGUGAGAAUUGCUGAAGAGAAUAAGUUUCGGUUUUAGAUACUUUCCACUAGCAUCUCCACUCUUCUUACCCUCUCCAAUGUUUCCACACUCCAAAGAUUUGAGUCUGUCUUCACUCGGAGAGAACAUAGAACUCCUGUGUCCAAAUAGGAGUGUUCAACUGUCAAGACUACUUUUAUGUGACUUUAUAAUGCUUUAGGAUAAUUUCACAUGCCUUAAGCCUGCCUGCCUGUUCCUUUUCAUGGAAAGCAUUGCUUAAACGGGCAGUUUAAGAACUCCUUUCUCUCUCUCUCUCUCUCUCUCUCUCUCAUUGAUGUAUUUUUGAAGUUUACAUGUUACAAAACGGAGUACAGAAACGGUCCUUGGAUUUAAGUACUUUGUUUACAUGUUCAAUAUAAUGUUGGGUACAUAAAAAGGGUGUUUGUGUUUGUUUUAAUUUAAAGCACAUGGAUUGUGUGCCCUAUGGGCUUUGUGGCCACACUCUGGCAAAAUACUGUAUUAAGGAUAAGUGAAAGCCUGUUGCCUUUUUUUUUUUUUUAAAUGUAGUUUGAAUUGACCGGGUUUUAUAAAACGUAAGAAAAAGUCUUGUAUUUUGGUCUGAACUGUGUGCUGUCGUUUUACUUUGCAUUGUACGUAUUGGAGGUUUCUUGAAAACUUGAACUCUUUUAUAGAAGGAUGCAGACCAAAACUGAACUGUCUUACAGAUGGUUAAUGAACUAACCAAAUAAACACUUUAUGGUUGCAUACA